rnacentral:rRNA from 1 species
GCUCAGAUUGAACGCUGGCGGCAGGCCUAACACAUGCAAGUCGAGCGGUAACAGAGAGUAGCUUGCUACUCUGCUGACGAGCGGCGGACGGGUGAGUAAUGCUUGGGAAUAUGCCUUAUGGUGGGGGACAACAGUUGGAAACGACUGCUAAUACCGCAUGAUGUCUACGGACCAAAGUGGGGGACCUUCGGGCCUCACGCCAUAAGAUUAGCCCAAGUGGGAUUAGCUAGUUGGUGAGGUAAUGGCUCACCAAGGCGACGAUCCCUAGCUGGUUUGAGAGGAUGAUCAGCCACACUGGGACUGAGACACGGCCCAGACUCCUACGGGAGGCAGCAGUGGGGAAUAUUGCACAAUGGGCGCAAGCCUGAUGCAGCCAUGCCGCGUGUGUGAAGAAGGCCUUCGGGUUGUAAAGCACUUUCAGUAAGGAGGAAAGGUUAAGUGUUAAUAGCACUUAGCUGUGACGUUACUUACAGAAGAAGCACCGGCUAACUCCGUGCCAGCAGCCGCGGUAAUACGGAGGGUGCGAGCGUUAAUCGGAAUUACUGGGCGUAAAGCGUACGCAGGCGGUUUGUUAAGCGAGAUGUGAAAGCCCCGGGCUCAACCUGGGAACUGCAUUUCGAACUGGCAAACUAGAGUGUGAUAGAGGGUGGUAGAAUUUCAGGUGUAGCGGUGAAAUGCGUAGAGAUCUGAAGGAAUACCGAUGGCGAAGGCAGCCACCUGGGUCAACACUGACGCUCAUGUACGAAAGCGUGGGGAGCAAACAGGAUUAGAUACCCUGGUAGUCCACGCCGUAAACGAUGUCUACUAGAAGCUCGACUCUUCGGAGUUGUUUUUCAAAGCUAACGCAUUAAGUAGACCGCCUGGGGAGUACGGCCGCAAGGUUAAAACUCAAAUGAAUUGACGGGGGCCCGCACAAGCGGUGGAGCAUGUGGUUUAAUUCGAUGCAACGCGAAGAACCUUACCUACACUUGACAUACAGAGAACUUACCAGAGAUGGUUUGGUGCCUUCGGGAACUCUGAUACAGGUGCUGCAUGGCUGUCGUCAGCUCGUGUUGUGAGAUGUUGGGGUAAGUCCCGCAACGAGCGCAACCCCUAUCCUUAGUUGCCAGCGAUUCGG